GACGAACGCUGGCGGCGUGCUUAACACAUGCAAGUCGAACGGAAAGGCCCUGCUUUUGUGGGGUGCUCGAGUGGCGAACGGGUGAGUAACACGUGAGUAACCUGCCCUUGACUUUGGGAUAACUUCAGGAAACUGGGGCUAAUACCGGAUAGGAGCUCCUGCUGCAUGGUGGGGGUUGGAAAGUUUCGGCGGUUGGGGAUGGACUCGCGGCUUAUCAGCUUGUUGGUGGGGUAGUGGCUUACCAAGGCUUUGACGGGUAGCCGGCCUGAGAGGGUGACCGGCCACAUUGGGCCUGAGAUACGGCCCAGACUCCUACGGGAGGCAGCAGUGGGGAAUAUUGCACAAUGGGCGGAAGCCUGAUGCAGCAACGCCGCGUGCGGGAUGACGGCCUUCGGGUUGUAAACCGCUUUCGCCUGUGGCGAAGCGUGAGUGACGGUAAUGGGUAAAGAAGCACCGGCUAACUACGUG
rnacentral:rRNA from 1 species